rnacentral:sRNA from 1 species
GAAAGUAUCUGAAGAACGCCGUCGAA